rnacentral:rRNA from 1 species
GGGCACCACCAGGAGUGGAGCCUGCGGCUUAAUUUGACUCAACACGGGAAAACUCACCCGGCCCGGACACUGGAAGGAUUGACAGAUUGAGAGCUCUUUCUUGAUUCAGUGGGUGGGUGGUGCAUGGCCGUUCUUAGUUGGGUGGGAGCGAUUUUGUUCUGGGUUAAUUUCCGGAAUAACGAACCGAAGACUCCUAGGCCUUAUUUAAAAUAGAACUGGCGGGGGUCCGUAAGCCCCCCGCAAGGAAUUUCUUAAAAGGGAAAAGGGCGGGCGAAGUAAGCCGCCCCAAGGGGAGGGCAAAUUAAAAGGGUCUUGUGAAUGCCCUUUAAAUUUCCGGGGGCCCCCCAGGGCGGUUACCCUGAAAGUGACAACGGGGCAUUUGUUUUCGCCUCCCGGGGGGGGCGGGAACCCAAGGAACCUUCUUCCGGAAAGGAUUGGGAUUUGAUUUAUUGCCCAUAAACGGAAUUCCCGUAAGGCGGACAUUAGCUUGUGUGUAUCCCCCCGCCUUGGAAACCCGCG